CAAGUUACUAUUGACAGAAUUUGAACAUACUUUAAAUAAUCAAUUGUCACAGCAACACAUAAAAAAUACUGAAAGCUGUCGACCAAUUGGCCUAUUAAAUAACCUUUCAAAAUUAUUAAAAAAAUAUGUCAAAUAUCAAUACCUAAAAACCUUUUUAGAACCCCUUGGGGUAUUAUCACAGAAUCAUUUUGGUUUCUUGGAGAGUCUUAGUGCAACACACGCAGUAUACAAACUAAAAUCUGAAAUCACCAAGAACUUGGAAAAUGAUAAAAUUGCAUUGCUGUUUUUAUUGACUUAGCGAAGGCUUUUGAUACUGUGCCUGCGGACUUACUUUUAGAUACCCUGGAACAAAAUAGUAUUAGAGAAAAGACAUGUCCGACCUUCAUCCAGUGCACCGAGGCCGACUUAUUGAUACUAUCCUGGUUUAACUUAUUUAAAAAUCUACUAUAUAGCUUUUUGGACAGCAGUUAAGUUCUCUUUUUCUCGUCAAUUUUUAGUUUACCAAAAGAUCAUAUGCAAGAAUAUUGUAUUGCCUUUUGUCCUCUCCAAGAAAAUGCAAAUGGUCUCUCAUUUGAUGCAGAUUAUCAUUAAACCAUGAAAUAUCAGAGCCCUGGUCUGAAUGUUCACAAUAUUGUUUUUUAAAAAAAGUAUGACAACAAGUAUUUUGAACGAUGCUCAGAAAUUAAAGGUAAUGGGAUUUUUCCGAACUUAAUAAAUAGAUAAAAGAGAGCCAUAGAAAGACCGAUGUUGGGACAAGUGUAGUGGUCAAAACAGCUAAACUUAAAUGGCAAUAGUAAGGGCAUCUAGAUACUGCUUACAGAUAGCACAGGAUAGAAUGACAUGGAAGAGAGCUGGAGAGGCCUAUGUGCAAAGGUGAACAAGCAAUGGCUGAGAAAGUAAAAGAAAAUGUUAUAAUAUAGCAAAUUAUAUUUUUAAAUUCUCCUAUAUUUACGUAUAUCUAGAUAAACAAGAAUCAUAUUUGUCUAUUUUAUGAGAUCGAUGAAAUGAAAUUUUAUUUAUUGUACGAUUAGAUCAGCCUCUUCUUGGUAUAAUUAUAAUUUUUUAGGAUAGAAUUUAUAAUGACGAUGAUGGGAGCUCUUUUAAGAAAUGACUUUGAGUAGUUCACUACUGCUAGAGGUAUUAUA